rnacentral:tRNA from 1 species
GCCUCCAUAGCACAGUGUAGUGCGUUUGCUUCAUAAGUGAAAGGUCGUGAGUUCAAUUUUCACUAGAGGCU